UACGUAGGGCGCAGGCGUUGUCCGGAAUUAUUGGGCGUAAAGAGCUCGUAGGCGGCUUGUCACGUCGGAUGUGAAAGCCCGGGGCUUAACUCCGGGUCUGCAUUCGAUACGGGCUGGCUAGAGUGUGGUAGGGGAGAUCGGAAUUCCUGGUGUAGCGGUGAAAUGCGCAGAUAUCAGGAGGAACACCGGUGGCGAAGGCGGAUCUCUGGGCCAUUACUGACGCUGAGGAGCGAAAGCGUGGGGAGCGAACAGG
rnacentral:rRNA from 1 species